rnacentral:rRNA from 1 species
UUGGCGGACCGGGUGAGUAAUGUAUCGGAACGUGCCCAGUAGCGGGGGAUAACUACGCGAAAGCGUAGCUAAUACCGCAUACGCCCUACGGGGGAAAGCAGGGGAUCGCAAGACCUUGCACUAUUGGAGCGGCCGAUAUCGGAUUAGCUAGUUGGUGGGGUAACGGCUCACCAAGGCGACGAUCCGUAGCUGGUUUGAGAGGACGACCAGCCACACUGGGACUGAGACACGGCCCAGACUCCUACGGGAGGCAGCAGUGGGGAAUUUUGGACAAUGGGGGAAACCCUGAUCCAGCCAUCCCGCGUGUGCGAUGAAGGCCUUCGGGUUGUAAAGCACUUUUGGCAGGAAAGAAACGUCAUGGGUUAAUACCCCGUGAAACUGACGGU